rnacentral:rRNA from 1 species
UACGGAGGGUGCGAGCGUUGUCCGGAAUCAUUGGGCGUAAAGGGCGCGUAGGUGGCCCGGUGAGUCUUUGGUGAAAGCGCGGGGCUCAACCCUGCGUCGGCCAGGGAUACUGCCGCGGCUCGAGCACUGUAGAGGCAGGCGGGAUUCCGGGUGUAGCGGUGGAAUGCGUAGAGAUCCGGAAGAACACCGGUGGCGAAGGCGGCCUGCUGGGCAGUGGCUGACGCUGAGGCGCGACAGCGUGGGGAGCAAACAGG